GUACUCAUCCUGGCAGCAUACAUACUAAAAUUGAAACAAUACAGAGGUUAAUUAGCAUGGGCCCUUGCACAAGGAUGACACACAGAUCUGUGAAGCAUUCCAUAUUAAA